CUACGGGAGGCUCCAGCAAGGAAUAUUGCGCAAUGGACGAAAGUCUGACGCAGCGACACCGCGUGAAGGAUGACGGCCUUCGGGUUGUAAACUUCUUUUCUCAAGGAAGAAUAAUGACGGUACUUGAGGAAUAAGUCCCGGCUAACUACGUGCCAGCAGCCGCGGUAAUACGUAGGGGGCGAACGUUAUCCGGAUUUACUGGGCGUAAAGAGCGCGUAGGCGGUCUGGCAAGUCAGGUGUAAAAUCUCCCGGCUCAACUGGGAGGGAUCAUUUGAUACUUCCAGACUGGAGGUCAGCAGAGGAAAGUGGAAUUCCCGGUGUAGUGGUGAUAUGCGUAGAUAUCGGGAGGAACACCAGUGGCGAAGGCGACUUUCUGGGCUGCACCUGACGCUGAGGCGCGAAAGCGUGGGGAGCGAACAGGAUUAGAUACCCUCGUAGUC
rnacentral:rRNA from 1 species